rnacentral:rRNA from 1 species
UACAGAGGUCCCAAGCGUUGUUCGGAUUCAUUGGGCGUAAAGGGUGCGUAGGUGGCGCUGUAAGUCGGGUGUGAAAUUUCGGAGCUUAACUCCGAAACUGCAUUUGAUACUGCCUUGCUUGAGGACUGGAGAGGAGACUGGAAUUCACGGUGUAGCAGUGAAAUGCGUAGAGAUCGUGAGGAAGACCAGUGGCGAAGGCGGGUCUCUGGACAGUUCCUGACACUGAGGCACGAAGGCCAGGGGAGCAAACGGG